CUGACCACGGACCCAUCUGAUUGGCCAGAACCUGACCACAGACAGUUAAACCACAAAAAGAGAGAGAGAUAAACAGAACAAAGAAACAACAACCAAAACAGUCUGUAUGAACUGGAUCAGACGGUAACCAUAACAACCACAGACAUGGUCAGAGAAUCAGACAACCAAUAAGAACCGCAGAAACAUUUAAAAACUGAUCAGUUUCACAUACAGUCUGCGUCCCAAUUGGCCCCCUAUUCCUCACAGGCCUCUGAUCAAAAUUAGUGCACUAUAUAGGGAAUAGGCCUCUGAUCAAAAUUAGUGUACUAUAUAGGGAAUAGGGCCCUGGUCAACAGUAGUGUACUAUAUAGGGAAUAGGGCCCUGAUCAACAGUAGUGUUCUAUAUAGGGAAUAGGGCUCUGGUCUAUAGUAGUGUUCUAUAUAGGGAAUAGGGCUCUGGUCUAUAGUAGUGUACUAUAUAGGGAAUAGGGCUCUGGUCUAUAGUAGUGCACUAUAUAGGGAAUAGGGCCCUGAUCAACAGUAGUGUUCUGUAUAGGGUAUCAUUUGGGAUCUAACCACUCUUCUGAUGAGAGAACAUGUGACAAACAAGUACACUAUAUAGAAACAGGGUGGUGUUUGGGACGCAGGUCCAUAAAAUAGUGGCUUCACCAUCCAGCUGAUAACAAUUUCAUCCACAUCUGAUAACUAGGAUAGCAGUCAUUUAAUAUAAAAACAAUCACAAUGUCAUGGCAACUAAUGAUCUGUGAUUAGGUAAGUAUAGGGAGAGAGGAAUGGGACUGGGAGAGAGGGGUGGAGGGAGAGGAGGAGGGGUGGAGAGAGGUAGAGAGAGGUAGAGAGAGUGAGAGAGAGGUAGAGAGAGAGGAAGAGGUAGAGAGAGAGGAAGAGGUAGAGAGAGAUUUAAAGAGGUAGAGAGAGUGAGAGAGUG
ensembl:lncRNA